UACGAAGGACCCGAGCGUUAUCCGGAUUUAUUGGGUUUAAAGGGUGCGUAGGCGGACUUUCAAGUCAGUGGUGAAAUCCUCCAGCUUAACUGGAGAACUGCCAUUGAUACUGUUGGUCUUGAGUACGGUUGAGGUGGGCGGAAUGUGUCAUGUAGCGGUGAAAUGCUUAGAUAUGACACAGAACACCUAUUGCGAAGGCAGCUCGCUAAGCCGUAACUGACGCUGAGGCACGAAAGUGUGGGUAGCAAAC
rnacentral:rRNA from 1 species